GAUGAAGAACGCAGCGAAAUGCGAUAAGUAAUGUGAAUUGCAGAAUUCAGUGAAUCAUCGAAUCUUUGAACGCACAUUGCACCCGCCAGUAUUCUGGCGGGCAUGCCUGUUCGAGCGUCAUUUCAACCAUCAAGCCCUGCUUGCGUUGGGGUCCUGCGGCUGCCCGCAGGCCCUGAAAACCAGUGGCGGGCUCGCUAGUCACACCGAGCGCAGUAAUACAUCUCGCUUUGGGCGUGCGGCGGGUUCUUGCCGUUAAACACCCCCUUUUUACCAAGGUUGACCUCGGAUCAGGUAGGAAUACCCGCUGAACUUAAGCAUAUCAAAGCGGAGGA
rnacentral:misc_RNA from 1 species